rnacentral:rRNA from 1 species
AACGAACGCUGGCGGCAGGCCUAACACAUGCAAGUCGAACGCCCUAGCAAUAGGGAGUGGCAGACGGGUGAGUAACGCGUGGGAACGUACCCUUCGGUUCGGGAAUAACCCACGGGAAACUUGGACUAAUACCGGAUACGUGCGAGAGCAGAAAGAUUUAUCGCCGAAGGAUCGGCCCGCGUCCGAUUAGCUAGUUGGUGAGGUAAUGGCUCACCAAGGCGACGAUCGGUAGCUGGUC